rnacentral:lncRNA from 12 species
AGAGGUAGUCAUCGUUUGUGUUUGCUGCAAUGCCAAGCACACUGUUUGGAUGAACUGGUACCCUGGGAGGGGAUGGCUGAAUGAAAGAUGAAGAACAGUGUUAUGAAGAAGCUGUAGUUGAAUCCCUACAAUUCCUGUCCAGCUCUCUAACUGCCAGUAUAAUCUGAUCAGAGGCCAUACGGGGAUGAAGGCAUUCCUUGAUGUACCAUGUACUUUCUCUGCCUGUUUUUUGUAUUAAUGUAAUAUUUUUUGAAGCGUGUCACAUAUUUUUAUUUGGCAAGCAAAUUACCCCAAAAAUACCUGGCAGAGCAGUUCACAGUGAAUUUCAUAGUGAGUGUGCCAGAGCUGUUUGCCAAUACACAGAUGAACUGUCAGAACCCCCCACAAAGCUGAGGUACCUUGUGAGUAAUUAAACAUCACUCAGUUCUAAGAGGCAACCGUCAGCAAUAGAGUUCACCCAACUAUAAUAUCUUUAAAAUCAGGAUAGAACCAGUGGCAUGUGACAGGAGAGUGGCUGAAUUGCUCACAGUUUAAUGACCCCUCUAACUAUGCAGUAGGGGUUCCUGGUUCCUAUGCAAACUGAUGUGCACCACAGAGUUGUAGACUUCAUUAUUAGUGAGCAGUUCCAGUGGCUUCAAACCCUAUGUAUUCACAAAUGGCUAAAGGAAUCCCCUAGACUAUUAGCAAGAAUCACGCAUGUUUGAGAGAGAACACUCAGUGUUGGAACAUGGAAACUUGGAAGAGCUCCAACUUUGGUCCUCCAACUGAUCCAGAAACUGAGGUGUUUGCCAAAUUCAAAAUGAAUACAACAUCAAGAGUAUUCAGGGCUCACAUGGAAAGGGCAGUCCUGGCUGAGGUGUGUGGUUGGAGGGAGCUGCCUGAAAAACACCUGGAGAGCAAGAACUGGAGAAGGAUCCUCUCAACAGAACCUCUUAGUGACCUCACCUUGUCUAUUCAAAAGAUGGAGAAAAGGCAACAGAGUCACAGCACAACCAGCUUUGGAGUGACCUACAGCCACAACAGCUCCCCCAGAGCUCAAAACACUGCUGAACUCCUGUCUUGUCCUGCAGCUGUCACAAGGCUUUACAAGUCCAUGUUUCAUUGUAGCAAUGAAAUGUACUGAUAAAACAGAGACCUGAAUCCUCCCCUGGCACCUGAGUACUUAUUGCUGUCUACCUUCAGAUUCUGGGUUCUAGGGACUAUUUGUAAAAAUGGCAAAAAACUCCUGACAAUCUCGCAUUGACAGGGUUUCCAUUUUAACCAGGAACUCUUAAUCUCAGAAAGCUGUAGUAAUAUGAUGAACAAGACUUAAAAUCUUACAUUCCUUGGCAUCUAACAGCAGUUUGUGCCCGUUGAAUCAGAGUGAGGAACUAUGGUAGCUGUUCCGUCCUGUAAAAUGGACAUCUAAUAUUGCAGCAGCUCUUAAAUUACUUGUGAAACUUCUUUUAACGUUGAAAAUUGUCAUUCUUCCUUUUGAAUAAUAUAGUGCUCUCUUUAAUAUUAUGGUGAAAUCUAUUUUGAUUUUUAAAACUGGUAAUAAGACCUAUUUCACUCUGGGAUUGUCUCUUUUGUUUCAUUUCACUGCAAUGAAAA